AUUGAACGCUGGCGGCAGGCUUAACACAUGCAAGUCGAGCGGGGGCUUCGGUCCUAGCGGCGAACGGGUGAGGAAUGCCUGGGAAUCUGCCUGGUAGUGGGGGAUAACGAUUCGAAAGGGUCGCUAAUACCGCAUACGUCCUACGGGAGAAAGCAGGGGACCUUCGGGCCUUGCGCUAUCAGAUGAGCCCAGGUCGGAUUAGCUAGUAGGUGAGGUAAAGGCUCACCUAGGCGACGAUCCGUAGCUGGUCUGAGAGGAUGAUCAGCCACACUGGAACUGAGACACGGUCCAGACUCCUACGGAGGCAGCAGUGGGGAAUAUUGGACAAUGGGCGAAAGCCUGAUCCAGCCAUGCCGCGUGUGUGAAGAAGGCCUUC
rnacentral:rRNA from 1 species